CGGUUGGCCUCCGCCACACGUGUCUGUCGUUCCCGCCGGCCUGCCGGCGCCGCCGUGUCAGCAGCCGGUUCGGCCGGUUCCCGAGCCGUGUGCUCGGGCUUGCCGGGCUCAUUCCGCUCUUGUAGCCCAGGUGCGCCGGGGGCCUCCCGCGUCUCGUCUCUCGCUGCGCAGAGCGCGGUUCGUGAGGAGCAGGUUUAUUCCAGAGUUGGAAAAAACUCAAAUAAUAUAUUGUAUCCAUGUUUGGAAAAAGAUAGUUGCUACAGACGAAGAGGUUAACACUGGUAUAAAAGAUGAGUAUGUUAAAACCAAGUGGACUUAAGGCUCCUUCAAAGACCAUCAAGCAUGGGGGCACACUGCUGAAGACACCUGCAUCUGUUGCAGCUGCUCCAGCAGAAAAAGCAGCUUCCAGUGAAAAGGCCUCCAGCACAACCACUGCAGAUGCACAUGAAGAGUUUGUGGAUGAUUUCAGAGUUGGUGAGCGUGUUUGGGUCAAUGGAAAUAAACCUGGCUUUAUUCAGUUCCUUGGUGAAACACAGUUUGCUCCAGGACAGUGGGCAGGGAUUGUUCUAGAUGAACCAAUUGGUAAGAAUGAUGGCUCCGUGGCUGGAGUUCGAUAUUUCCAGUGUGAACCCUUGAGGGGAAUAUUUACAAGACCAUCAAAGUUGACAAGAAAAGUGCUGACAGAAGAUGAAGCCAAUGGUACACAGACAGCUCAUGCUUCUAGAGCUACAUCCCCAACCUCCACAUCAGCUGCUAGUAUGGUGUCUUCAUCUGCUGCUGCACUUCCUCCUUCAGGAAUUCCUCAAAAAACUUCACUUGCUGCUAAGGAACAUUCAACUCCUCAGAUUAGCAAUCUUUCUAAAACUGCAAGUGAAUCUAUAUCAAAUCUCUCUGAAGCUGGAUCACUCAAGAAGGGAGAAAGGGAGCUCAAGAUUGGAGAUCGAGUUCUGGUUGGUGGAACCAAAGCUGGAGUUGUGCGUUUCUUGGGGGAGACUGACUUUGCUAAAGGGGAAUGGUGUGGAGUAGAACUGGAUGAACCUCUGGGGAAGAACGAUGGAGCUGUUGCUGGAACCAGGUAUUUUCAGUGCCAGCCCAAAUAUGGUUUGUUUGCUCCAGUCCACAAAGUUACCAAGAUUGGAUUCCCAUCGACCACACCAGCCAAAGCAAAGACAACAGUGAGGAAAGUGGUUGCAACUCCCACAGCCCUGAAACGCAGCCCGAGUGCAUCUUCCCUGAGCUCCCUCAGUUCUGUGGCCUCUUCAGUAAGCAGCAAGCCCAGCCGUACAGGACUAUUGACAGAAACAUCCUCCCGGUAUGCAAGAAAAAUUUCUGGCACCACAGCCCUGCAGGAGGCACUGAAGGAGAAGCAGCAGCACAUUGAGCAGCUCCUGGCAGAACGGGACCUGGAGAGGGCAGAAGUGGCCAAAGCCACCAGUCACGUAGGGGAGAUAGAGCAGGAAUUAGCGCUGGUUCGGGAUGGACACGACCGGCAUGUACUGGAGAUGGAAGCAAAAAUGGACCAGCUACGAGCCAUGGUGGAAGCUGCUGAUAGGGAGAAAGUGGAACUUCUCAAUCAGCUAGAGGAAGAGAAAAGGAAAGUUGAAGACCUUCAGUUCCGUGUGGAAGAAGAAUCCAUUACCAAAGGAGACUUGGAGCGAAAGAGGCAGAUUUCGGAAGACCCAGAAAAUACGCAGACCAAACUGGAGCAUGCCCGCAUUAAGGAGCUUGAACAGAGCCUGCUCUUUGAAAAGACCAAAGCUGACAAACUCCAGAGGGAGUUAGAAGACACUAGGGUGGCCACGGUGUCGGAGAAAUCUCGUAUCAUGGAGCUAGAAAGGGACCUUGCACUGCGGGUGAAGGAGGUGGCUGAGCUGCGAGGGAGGCUGGAGUCCAGUAAACACACUGAUGAUGUGGACACUUCUCUGUCUUUGCUACAAGAAGUAAGUUCUCUGCAAGAAAAAAUGGCAGCAGUUGGCAAGGAACAUCAGAAUGAGCUGAAUUCACUGAAAGAGAAGUUUGGAAGUAGCGAAGAAGCACUGCAGAAAGAGAUCAAAUCACUUUCAGCUUCAAAUGAGAGAAUGGCAAAAGAAAAUGAAUCCUUGAAGACGAAGCUCGAUCAUGCCAACAAGGAGAAUUCAGAUGUGAUAGAGCUCUGGAAAUCCAAGCUGGAGUCUGCAAUUGCCUCCCAUCAACAAGCAAUGGAAGAACUGAAAGUGUCUUUCAGCAAAGGUGUAGGGGCUCAGACAGCAGAAUUUGCCGAGUUAAAGACUCAGAUUGAGAAGAUUAAAUUAGACCAUGAAAAUGAAAUCUCAAAUUUAAAACUGAAGCAGGAAAAUGAAAAAGCUCUGCAUUUAAAAGAAAUUGAAUCACUGAAAGCAAAACUGUUGGCAGUCACAGAGGAGAAAGAGCAAAACCUGGAAAGCCUGAAGACCAAACUGGAAAGUGUGGAAGAUCAGCAUCUAGUAGAAAUGGAAGACACUUUAAACAAAUUACAGGAAGCUGAAAUAAAGGUAAAGGAGCUAGAGGUACUGCAAGCCAAGUACAAUGAACAAACCAAAGUUAUUGAUAGUCUUACACCACAGAUCAAAGCUGCUGAAGAAAAGCUUUUGGACCUUGCUGCACUUCAGAAAGCCAAUUCUGAAGGUAAAUUGGAAAUCCAGAAACUUAGCGAGCAGCUUGAGGCAGCUGAGAAACAAAUUCAGAGUUUAGAGACUGAAAAGGUUGAAGGAAGUAGCAAGGCUAGUAAUCUGGCCAAAGAACUGCAGGGCAAAGAGCAAAAGCUUCUUGACCUUGAGAAAAACUUGAGUGCAGUAAAUCAAGUUAAAGAUUCUUUGGAAAAGGAACUUCAAGUUUUGAAAGAAAAGUUUACUAGUGCAGCUGAUGAAGCAGAAAACGUUCAACAAACUAUGCAAGAAACAAUAAAAAAACUAAACCAAAAAGAAGAGCAGUUUGCACUCAUGUCUUCAGAACUGGAGCAGCUGAAGUCUAGCUUGACUGAGAUGGAGAGGAAACUGAAGGAGCGAGAAGAGAGGGAACAGCAACUGAUGGAGGCUAAAGCCAAGCUGGAAAAUGAUAUUGCAGAGAUCAUGAAGUCUUCAGGAGACAGCUCUGCCCAGCUGACAAAAAUGAAUGAUGAGCUGCGGGCAAAAGAGAGGCAGUUGGAGCAAAUACAACUUGAUCUUACAAAAGCAAAUGAAAAGGCUGUUCAGCUUCAGAAAAGUGUGGAGCAGACAACACAGAAAGCUGAGCAGAGUCAGCAAGAAACUCUCAAGAUCCAUCAAGCAGAACUGAAAAAUAUGCAGGAUCAACUAACAGACAUGAAAAAGCAAAUUGAGACCAGCCAGAACCAGUAUAAGGACCUUCAGGCCAAGUAUGAGAAAGAAACUUCGGACAUGAUCACUAAACACGAUGCAGAUAUCAAAGGUUUUAAGCAGAACUUGCUGGAUGCAGAAGAAGCACUGAAAAUGGCACAAAAGAAGAAUGAUGAGUUAGAAACACAGGCUGAGGAGCUGAAGAAGCAAGCAGAGCAGGCCCAAUCCUUAAGCUCUGUGUUAGCAUCAGCCAGAACAGAGAUUGAACUAAUGUCAGACAAGAUGAGGGGUUUGAUAUCAGAAAAAGAGACUCUGGCACAGGAGGGGAAUACUUUAAAAUUAGAGAGAGGUUCCUUGUUAUCCAAACUUGUAGAACUGGAAUCAAAGAUUUCGUUAAUGCAACGAGACCAAGAACAACUCUGGACAGUAAACGAAGAACUUAAAUCAGAAAACAAAAGAAUCCUAAAGCAGAAGGAAGAAGCUGAGACCAAAAGCCAGCAGGAAAGCAGAGAAAAGGUAGCACUGAUUUCUGAGCAAAGCAAAUUACUCUCUGAAAUAGAGGCAGCUCAGGCAGACCUUCUGAGGGUGACUCAAGAAAAUGAUGCGCUCCGGUCUUCAGAGUCAACCUUGCUCCAACAGCUGAAAGAACUUCAGGCCAACACAGAUGCCAUGGAUGUGGCAUGUCAGAAACACAUCAAGGAAUGGGAAGAACUGGAGAAUUAUCAGAAGAAACUUCUGGAAGAGAAAUGUGCAGUUGUUAAGAACAAAGAUGAUGUUAUUCAGAAGCUGGAAAGUUCUUGUGAGGCCCUGGCCAGAGAUCAAAGUGAGCUCCUGCAAAAAGUGUCAACUCUUACUGCAGAGAGAGAUUCGGCCCUAGAAAAACACCUGUACCUUGAAAAUGCACAGUUAGCCUUAAAAAAUGAAAUGGACAGUCUGCUGCAGACAAGACAAAGUCUGCAGGCUGAGAAGGAGAUGCUCCUCAAAAGCAUAGAAGAGCUGCGUGUGAGUUUGGACAACAGGGUUAGUGAAAACCGAGCACUGAAAGUAAGGAUGGAAGAGAUGGAAUCAGACCUCGAGACCAAACAGAAGGGACUUAAAAAAGCCAUGGAAGACAAUGCAGAGCUGAAGGAUUCCCUUGCUGCUCUCUCUCAUCAUCUUGAGGAAAUGAAAGCCUCAAGAGUCAGAUCCAAUUCCGAGUGUGUGCAGUUACUUCAGGAGAAAGAGGCUCUUUCUUCAUCAGAACGAAGGCUUCUGGCUGAAAGGGAGGAACUGCUGACUGAAAACAGGGCGGUUGCUGAAAGGCUUGCUCGUGCCACAGCAGAUGCCACACUUGCUGAGAAAGCCUUUACUGAGAAAAUAAAUGAGCUGAGCUUAGAAAAGGAAUCUGUUUUUCAUAAGUUGUUGCAAUUUGAAAAGCACAAUGAAGCUCUUCUUCAAGAGAAGAGUGAAUUGGAGAACAAAUGCUCAGAGCUUCUUGAUGAAAACAAGUCUUCUGCAAAUGCAAUUUCUGAUAUGAAGAGAGAACAUGAGCUGGAUGUCUCGGCCAAGAGAGCUCUGGCCCAAGAGAAUACCAUGCUCCAAGAUACCAUUGAAGCCCUCAAGGAAGAGCUAAGUAAGAAGACUCAAGAAAAUCAAGAGCUAAGAGCCUGUAAAUGUGACCUUUCAGACCUUUUGAAAGAGGCCCAGGAUGCCAAAAUAACACUAGAAGAUGAACUGGCUGCUGUGUCACAUGCCAACCAGGUCCUGUCAUCUUCACUCGAGACCUGUUCCUCUGACAGGGAAACACUGACCAGAGAGAGGACUGAAUUGCAAGAUAAGUGUCAGAAACUAAAUGGAGAGGUUGAGGUUAUGAAAGAAAACCUAGCCAGAGAAAAGGAAGCUAGAAAACUGGACAAGGAAUUGUUUUUGUUGGAACAUACGGAACUUCAAAGCAACAUCAGCUUCUUGGAGAAGGAGACAGAAGAGCUGAGAGAGAAAAAGAAAGAAUUUCUGACUGAGAAAGAACUUUUAGUUCAGGAGAAAGAAAAAUCUGAAUCUAAACUGGUGGAAAUCAUUAAAGAAAAAGAAACCCUCUGUGCAGAGAAGGAGCAGCUUGCUUCCAGUAUUGAACAACUGAAGAGUGACUUUGCUUCCUUGUCUACAUCAAAAGCAGAGCUCCAGGACUUGCAUAACUCUGUCUCCAAGAGACUGGAUGAUCUUCAGCACAGGUAUGAGGUGACAGAGAAGGAGAGAAUAAAGCUACUUCAGGAAAAUGACAGCCUGCUUGCUGAGCAGAAGAGUCAGGUCAUCAUCAAGGAGGAAAUACUGCAAGAGAAGGAGAAAUUCUCCAAGGCUUAUGAUAAACUGACCGAGGAAGUAGCACUUUUAGAACAAACUAAUAGUGAUCUCUCAGGCAAACUGCUGGUGUCUCAGGGCAAAAAUCAGAUGCUGCAGGAGGAGAUGAACAAUCUGGCUUUGAAACUAAAAGAAAUUGAGACUCUCCAGGCCCAAACAGUAGCCCAAAAAAUUGAGGCUGCCAAAGUGGCAGAAGAUGUUUUCCAGACUGUGGAGAAGGUGACCAAAGAGAAGGAUGCCAUUCACAAAGAAAAGAUUGAAACUUUGGCCUCUUUGGAGAAUUCUAGACAAACAAACGAGAAGCUACAGAAUGAAUUGGACAUGCUUAAACAAAACAACCUGAAAAAUGAAGAGGAACUUAAUAAAUCAAAAGAGCUUCUAAAUCUGGAGAACAAGAAAGUGGAAGAACUUAAAAAAGAAUUCGAAGCACUGAAGCUGGCAGCAGCUCACAAGUCCCAGCAGCUUGCAGCUCUGCAAGAGGAGAACCUGAAACUUGCCGAGGAGCUGGGCAGGAGCAGGGACGAAGUCACAAGUCAUCAGAAGCUGGAAGAGGAGAGAUCAGUACUCAAUAACCAGUUAUUAGAGAUGAAAAAGAGCUUGCCCAGUAACACUUUAAGAGAAUCAACACUAAAGAAAGAAAUUGAUGAAGAGAGAGCAUCUUUACAAAAAUCCAUCAAUGUUACUAGUGCCUUGAUCACAGAAAAAGAUGAGGAACUGGAAAAACUCAGAAAUGAGAUCACUCUGCUCCGUGGAGAAAACGCUUCUGCAAAAACGCUGCAGUCAGUGGUUAAGUCACUGGAGUCUGAUAAACUGAAACUUGAGGAAAAGGUGAAGAACUUGGAGCAAAAACUCAAGGAAAACAACGAACAGCCUUUAACUGUAACUAGCUCCUCAGGUGACACUGCUGCUAUUCAAGAUGAAAUUGCAAAAGAGAAGCAGGUAUUUGAUCUGAAAGAUCAGCAUGCUAAAACAGCAGUGUGUCUAUAGAGUGAAAUAUUCUUCCAAAGACAGUUUCUCAUCAGAUUCACCUUGUAACCUUCUGCUUCUGAAGGAACUACUAAUGGCAGGAAAUACUAGGAAUCAAGGGAUGAGUGAUACUGGAGAAGUAGUUCAGGUUACUGGGACACAAGGAAGCAAGCAGGAAAACAUGGGUGGCAAGUUUUGAUCUUCAGCUUGUUGGUGAGGUACAGCCCAGGAGAGCACACUCAGAAAUUGCUGUUCUUUCCAAAGAUUUAUUGGAUGUGAACAACGAAUAAGUUGAGGCCCACCUGUAUCUGUGGUGCUUGCCACCUUGGAGAAACUGGGUACUUGAACUCAGGUGAUACUUUGGAGCUUCUGCAGUUGAAAAUGUUAAUCUUUGCUUCUUAACUGCAAAACUUUCCUCAGAAUCAGGGUUGGCAGCAGUGGGGUGAGGAAGUUGCUCAGUUUGCAUGUGACAGGAAAAAGGGGCAUCAGAGAGUGUGAUAAUUGGAAGGAACAUGGGAAGUGAUGCUGUGCCACAGGCAGCCAGUGACAGCAAAUGCCCAGGAAACACGGGCAGAGCAGAAUUGCCUUCUGCUUGUUCUAGAAGUCCUUGUUAGAUCACUGAUGUCAAUCAUAGUGAUUAAAAAAUGUCCUUCCUUGUCUGUUUGGAGACCAGAAGCAGUGCAAUUACCACACACUAAUCACCAAUCUUUUUUUUUCUGCCUCCUUGAAUUCACCUGCUGAUGGCACCACUUCCUUCCAAGCAGCAUGAGAUCGACUUCCUGAACUCAGUGAUAGUAGAUCUGCAGAGGAGAAAUGAAGAGCUGAACCUAAAAAUACAAAGAAUGUGUGAAGCAGCCCUCAACGGCAACGAGGAGGAGAUAAAUAACUAUGACAGUGAGGAAGAAAGCUUGUCAAAGAAGAAGCCUCGUCUCUUCUGCGAUAUCUGCGGCUGCUUCGACCUCCACGACACUGAAGACUGCCCGACGCAGGCGCAGAUGCUGGAGGAGCCGCCGCACUCGGCGCACCACGGCAGCAGGAGGGAGGAGCGUCCCUACUGUGACACCUGCGAGAUGUUCGGGCACUGGACGGCAGAUUGCAACGACGACGAGACCUUCUGAUGCCACCAGCGGCCGGGAGGAGGGACUGUCUGUGCCCUGAGGGGACGAUUUAUACCACCAGCAUUUUUGCGUGCUGAAUGUCAGGAAAAGGGACAGCGUUUCUUGGCCCCCUCGCUCCCCUUCCCCUUGCCCAUCCACUCCGGAGUCAGUACCUUGAUAAGUAUUUUGCUCCUCUGCUAAUAAAUGCCCCAUCCCUUCCUAAUAAACUUAAGUGAACUAUAAACAAAUGAUUUAACAAAUUACUUUAUGCUGUUUCUUCCCAGGUUCUGGGUUUGUUCCCACUCUUAACAAGAAAUGCCCCUGUGCUGUUGCAUUUAUUGAUGGGAAAACUUGUAUAGGAACGAAGCACUAUAGUGAUAUUAAAGCUUAUUUAAAGACCUUAAAAUUAUGCUGUUAAUUUUCAUAUUUGCACUAAACCAUUUUAAGGCUGAAUUUGUAAAUUUAGAAUUUUUUUUAAGCUUUUUGGUUUGUUGUUUUGUUUUUUUUUGACACUGGACUGGGUUGAGAAAUGUUUCAUCUUUACCUUCAUUGAUUGUGAUUUCCCGGGGCUGUGGUUUGACACAAAGAAGCAGGUAAGACCCAUGAGCUGCUGGGGGGUUUAUCAGGAACCCGUGCUGCUGCAGCCCUUUUUUUCCUUUUUCCUUUCAGCUUCUCCAUAGUGUGUGUGUGUGUAUAUAUGCAUAUAUAUAUAUUAAAGUUCUAUUUUGGAAAAAAAAAA